rnacentral:ncRNA from 1 species
GACCGGUGGUACUAAGCGUACGACAAGUAGGGCGGGACACGUGACAUCCUGUCUGAAUAUGGGGGGACCAUCCUCCAAGGCUAAAUACUCGUAAUCGACCGAUAGUGAACCAGUACCGUGAGGGAAAGGCGAAAAGAACCCCGGAAGGGGAGUGAAAUAGAUCCUGAAACCGUGUGCAUACAAACAGUAGGAGCGGACUUGUUCCGUGACUGCGUACCUUUUGUAUAAUGGGUCAGCGACUUACAUUCAGUGGCAAGGUUAACCGAAUAGGGAAGCCGUAGAGAAAUCGAGUCCGAAUAGGGCGAUCAGUCGCUGGGUGUAGACCCGAAACCAAGUGAUCUACUCAUGGCCAGGAUGAAGGUGCGGUAACACGCCCUGGAGGUCCGAACCCACUAAUGUUGAAAAAUUAGGGGAUGAGCUGUGGGUAGGGGUGAAAGGCUAAACAAACUUGGAAAUAGCUGGUUCUCUCCGAAAACUAUUUAGGUAGUGCCUCAAGUAUCACCAUCGGGGGUAGAGCACUGUUAUGGCUAGGGGGUCAUUGCGACUUACCAAACCAUUGCAAACUCCGAAUACCGAUGAGUGCGAGCUUGGGAGACAGACGUCGGGUGCUAACGUCCGGCGUCAAGAGGGAAACAACCCAGACCGCCAGCUAAGGUCCCAAAGAUUGGCUAAGUGGAAAACGAAGUGGGAAGGCUAAAACAGUCAGGAUGUUGGCUUAGAAGCAGCCAUCAUUUAAAGAAAGCGUAAUAGCUCACUGAUCGAGUCGUCCUGCGCGGAAGAUGUAACGGGGCUAAGCCAGUCACCGAAGCUGCGGAUAU